rnacentral:lncRNA from 1 species
GCCACCUCCAAGAGAGCCUUCAGCUCACCCCCACAUAAUGGAUGGAGAAACUGAGGCCCAGAGGGGGAAGGAUCAGAGGCUGAGGCCAGUCGGUUCCCAAUGAAGGGCCCUGCAGGCUGCUGCCUCUGUGGCCAGCAGCCAGCUGAGGUGGGGAGGAUGAAAGCUCCUCUGCCUGGGGUGAUGGGGCCCUGGCCACCCCAUGGAUCUAGUAAGGAGCCCCUUCAGGCAGAAGCAGUUCACCAGGGACGGGUGAGGUUAUGGGGGGGAGGUCGUACAAAGCCAUGAUGAAGCUAUCUUCCUGUAUCACGUUCACACUUCUCAAGCACGGGAAACUAUGCAGAGUGGUGGGGAUGGACUUAAUUCUGCCCCAGAAAGGACGGAGUCCAUUCUUUUGAGAUUCCUGCACUGGAGUCUUCUUAGCGCCCCCACCCCCACCCCCACGCCAACUCCCCUCACAGAAUCCUGAUGGGUCUCCUUGGCAGCUUCGGCCUUGUUUCGGCCCAGGUGGUCCAGGACCAGAGCAGCAGUGCCUGGGGGCUUGCUGUCAAUGCAGAACCCCAGGCCCUGCUCUGGACCAGCUGGGGCAGACCUCCGAGUGAUUCUUACGUCCAUCAGGGGUUUGGAAGCACUGGCCUCUGGAACCACUCACCUGGCAGUGACUCACCUGGCAGUGACACUUGCGGGUAAUUGCACAUGAACACUAUUAUUAGCUGCAGAGAGGGUUGGGGGCCUGGGAAAGGAAGGAGGGAUCCCGAGGAUGGCUAAUCCAUGUGAAAAGUAGAAAGUGCUACCCAGCGUUUUGGAGAAAUGAAAUUCGUAGGAUGAUUAAAUCUGGGAAAAUAUGGGGUAAGAGAUUUUGUCCUGCCUCCUUCUAAGGCUGGGAGCUCCUCUGCAGUCUCUCAGCAACUGCUCUCCAGGCCCAGCCCGGGCUCCUAGCCUGACGGGGAGCUCACCACCUCUCAGGCCGGCACAGGGGGACAGCUCUGGCCCUGGUAAGGCCUCCUCCCUGCCAGGGAGCAGAGCCACUUCUGUGGUCCUGGCCGGCCUGCUUUCUGGCCCUGGUCCCCUUGGGGCUGCUGGUAACCAGCCCUGUCCCUCCUUUGAUCUUCGACACCCCACCUCUCUGCUCUUUCUCUAGUUGCAGAAAUAGUCUAUUUGUGUGUGGAGAGUCUCUUUUCCCUGAGCCUGGAGGUGUUGAAGAGGCCUCUACAGAGGCAGAACUGGUGCUGCAAGGAUUCACCGCAUUGGCCUCAUUCCUCCCUCCUCUGGGUCACCAGCAGAGUGGGGACCAGGCCGGCUCGGUGCAGUCGGAGGCAGGGGGUGUGGCACCUCCCUGGGUCUAUGGAAGCGGCAGACACAGGUGCACAUGGAAGGCAGAGGCGCUCAGGACGGUGGUCAGGUUGCACAACAUCACCCUUUGCUGUGAUGGGCACCCAGGGGUAGAGACAGCAGAUGUGCGCUGUCCGGGUGCCCAGCCCUCGCUCUCCGUGGGGCUCCAGGGUCAUUUGCCAAACUCAGACUGGCGCCACGGAUCGGAGAAAACAGAGUCCCACAAGCCCCCAGGACCUCCUCCUGCUGAGGAAGACGGCACAGACCCUCCCAGCCUGCUUCCUCCCCUCCGACCCUUCCACAGGACCCUCAUCCUAGUCCACAGGGACUUCUGUGGUCCUGCUCUGGGCCCCUGACCACUGGACUUCCCAAGAGAGGCUUUCUCUGGAGGCAGCCUGCAUGUCCCAGGGGCAGUGAACCCCCGAGGUCCCUGGGUCCCCAGGCAAAGCUGGUGGCUGACCCUAAUGACAGCAGGCGUCAAUUUGUGAACUUGAAAGGGAACCUGCUGCCUCCUGGAUUCCGCUCCUGGGACACUGGGAUGGACCUCAAAUCACCAAGUCAACUGCCGUCCUGUCUGCACAUCUCCUUGGUAGGCUGGAGCAGCUGAGGGAAACAGGGCUGCAGACUUGGAACCACUUCACAGAUGCCAGCAGCCCUGCUCCAUCCUCACUUUAUUUCCAAGGAAGUCAGGCUCCGAGGGGUUUGGGUCAUCUGGUAAGGCCACAGAGCUGAUAAAGCCAGGACUGGCCCCGAGACCCAGACUUCUGGUCUCAUGCCCAGUGCCCUUUCUUCCCUGUGCCAAGGGCUGACUUGGUCCUGAAGCUUGUUCUAUGGGGAGAGGGAGGGGUAGCACAAGGCCCAGGGAGAGGCUGGGAAGCGUGGCUCAGGCCUGACUCUGCUGCCAACUUCUUACGGGAUUCCUGCCAGGCUCUUAUCUGGCUCAGCUGCCUCCUUCCAGCUCAGAGCACCCAGAUUUCCAGGUUGGAGCCACUUUCUUCUGACUGACAUUCUCCCCUGGGUUGAACUCCAGUCAGGCUCUUCUGAGCUCUCUUCUCAACUUGGCCUGGGUUUUGGGCUUCCAUGUUUGUCUCUGCGUUGUCCAAUGUAGCAAGAAUCCUGCUAAACCAGCCUACCCAGAACCCCCCAUCCUCAAUAUCUGAUCAUCCUCGACAUCCAAUGGAGUUCCCAACCCCAUGCCUUCCCGGGGGUGACAUGUGACCUCCCUGGCCUGGCUUCAGCAGGAAUCCUGUGAGGCUGGUGUCCCCAGAAUCCCCUGACCCCUGGAGUUUCCUCUCAGUACUUUUCCAUCCACACUCCACCCUCGCUGCUUGGCUAUAAUUCCCUCUUUUCGUCCUGUUCAGAGUGAGCCCAGUCUCCCUCCUCCACUGCAAAACCCCAUUGCUGUGGUCCCUGUAUGGCUCGGAUCGUGGCAGUUCCCUGACUAGAGUUUCCCCACCCCCUCAUUCUAUAACAAGUGUCAUGAUAACUGUUUUUGUUUUUGUUUUUAGAUUUUAUUUAUUUAUUUAUUCAUGAGAGACACAGAGUGAGAGGCAGAGACAUAGGCAGAGGGACAAGCAGACUCCCUGUGGAGAGCCUGAUGUGGGAUUCGAUCCCAGGACCCCUGGGUCACGACUUGAGCUGAAGGCAGACGCUCAACCACUGAGCCACCCAGGCGUCCCAUGAUAACUGGUUUUUGAAGACUUCUGUUCCUAUCAGAAUCCCCUCUUGCUGGUGUAGCCCUAAGGCUCUGAAACGACUUCCUCACAUCCUCCUCCCGCUAUGCCUGUGAUUUGGAACUCUAGGUUCCUUACAAGGAGGGACAGCAGGGGAUCCCUGGGUGGCGCAGCGGUCUGGCGCCUGCCUUUGGCCCAGGGCGCGAUCCUGGAGACCCGGGAUCGGAUCCCACGUCGGGCUCCCGGUGCAUGGAGCCUGCUUCUCCUCUGCCUGUGUCUCUGCCUCAUUCUCUCUCUCUCUGUGACUAUCACAAAUAAAUAAAAAUUUUAAAAAAAUUUUUACAAGGAGGGACAGCAUGAUGUUCGUGAAAACACCAAGGACGCUUUUUUACUUUAACCAACUGGAAACUCUCAGCGUGAGGGAGGGGAAAUUUGGGAGCCCAGACACUUGAGAGAGGGAAGACCUUAUCUCAGGUGCUGCAAGCCCAGGUCCCCAGGCUUCUGCUGGCUCUGGGUCCUGAGGAGGGAAGGCCAGCGGAUCCAUGAUCUUGUCUGGCUUUCCCCUACCCCUUCCCUCCCACAGAAAAACCUUCUCUUCAACCUUGAGACUGCCACCCCCACCCACAGUGCCUUGGGUCUCUCUAGGAGGUGUGUUUUAUACCUUGUUCUUUCAAGGGGGACCCCAAAGCACCUGACUCCUUUAUUUUAAUCCUGAAACCCACAUCAUUGGGCAGAUUGUGAGUUGCCUUUCAUAGACUGAAAAAAAAUCUAAGAAUCAGAGGUUCCCCAGAAAGGACUAGCUAGGGUAGACCAGCAGUUGGAAAGGAGUGCUUCUGGAGGCUUAACCAAAUCUACAACUCCCUGCAGUUCACUCGAUAAGGAGCUCUUGGGUUUCCCCUUCCUGUCCAGAUAUUGGCUUAAAUUUGUUUUCCUUUUUCUGGUCUGCAAGUUACAAAACCAAGAAAUUUUGUCAUAAAAAUAACAAUGACCAAAGCCAGGCUCCAGAGAGCCUCCAGUCAGAGCCAGUAACCUCAGGCUGCUCAGGCACCCAGCACUCUCACCCCGACUGCAGCCAGGAGAGCUGAGGGCUUUGCUGCACCAGUCCAAGUCGGGGAGCGAGCAGCAAGACCAGUAUCAGAAACCAAAACAUGCCCGGCACUCAACACGGUUUUGAAUGCCAUGGAGAAUGCCAAGCCAGGUCUUUGCUGUGUGUGCUGCCCUCAAAAAUCCAGACAAAUGUCCUGUUCACAGCAGGGAAAACAAUUGCACUGAUUAAUUGUGCUUCUGUGGAUGUCUCCAUUCUCCAGACUUCUGAGUGCAUUCCAGUGAGGCCGUCUGCCAGAUGGAAGUGUUGUCACACACAGUUUCUUGGUGCAAACUGCAAGGCUCGUGAGCCUCAAGCAAGCCUGUUAGAAUUCCUUUUACUAAAUGGCCAUAAUCAAAGAACAAGCUCUUAGUUAUCUAGCAAUGAGCUUUAGAAAUCGAUGAGUACGCAAAAUCGCAAUUUAUGAGUUCAGCAAUUUUUCUUUUGCUGCUAAAAAUAUUAGCCCGUGAAAAUCUUACAGUGUCUGG